UACGGAGGGUGCAAGCGUUAUCCGGAUUCACUGGGUUUAAAGGGUGCGUAGGUGGUUUUGUAAGUCAGUGGUGAAAGCCCGGAGCUCAACUCCGGAACUGCCAUUGAUACUGCUUAACUUGAAUCAACUUGAGGUGGAUGGAAUAUUACAUGUAGCGGUGAAAUGCUUAGAUAUGUAAUAGAACACCGAUUGCGAAGGCAGUUCACUAAGGUUGUAUUGGCACUGAGGCACGAAAGCGUGGGGAUCAAACAGG
rnacentral:rRNA from 1 species